CUUGCUUCUUGCUGGGCUGUGCGCGUUGUCCUUUAAGAAGCUGUAUGGGAGUUGAGGGGAAGCUGUAUGGCUUUCUGGGUUCUCCAAGUUUCCCUCUCAUUAUUGUGCUUACUUUGGUUUUAGCAUUGGACAUUACUAAGUGAGAUUUAUGCUUUUUUGUUGUUUUUUUCAGACAGGAUCUUGACGUGUAGUUCAGGCCUUACGUAUCCCAGGCUGUCCUGGAACCUGCAAUCCUCCUGGCUCAGCCUCCCGCGUAGCUGGGGUUACAGGCGUUCGUCACCAGGCCUGUUGGUACCCAUCUACCUCUGUGUUGUGCUUAAGAAAUACCAGUGGUUGCUCUUCAUAGUAGGCUUUCCAUAAGAUCGAGGGAUUGACAACACACCCGCCACUACCAAGGAACACUAUGAUAUUCAGGUUCACGUAAGGAAACUCCACAAGGUCCUGCAGCUGCGAGCGCCACAGAGGACUCGACCACCAGCUGCCGUAAGCAGUCCAACUGCCUGUGGGCAAGGGACAAAGGGCGCUGUCACGGUGGGAUGCAGCUGGUGCACUGCCUUCCCCAGAGACCCUGAACUCACCUGCUGGAGUCAGGAAUCUGGGUCAGGGCCUCAUACGCCUGGCUGUUGUGACCCAGAUCCAAGUGAUGUUUGAAGAUGCAUGUCCUUAAGGUGGCC
rnacentral:lncRNA from 1 species